CUCUGUUCAGGAGCAGCACUCGAGGCUGGCAUUCUUUUCCUUACAGGAAAGAUGAGGUGUUUUGGACACAAAAUACUCUGUCCUUUCUAUCUUUCCAACACUAACAAUCUUACGCCCUGCACUUAAAGACAAUUUAUGCUUCAUCUGAAAAUGUGGCCGGAGGCUUCGUAUGGAGGGUGGGAUGCAAUUGUGGAGCCUCCGGAGGCAAGCAAGAGGCCAAAUCGAGCUCCAUACUGCCUUCCUGUGCAUCUCUCAAAUUUUGUAACAAUGCAGAGGGUUCCGUAGCUCCGUAUUGACAUGAUUGGUUGAAGAGUGAUGCAAGCUCCGAAUCACACAGAAUAUACCAGAACCCAGUGAUGGCAGAGAUAUGGAAGCGAAUCAUACGGCUGGUAAAAACAACGAGUGUCAGCUGAGCCCCUUCUCCCAUGACUCAGGGCCCUGUGCAAUUCCAUUUCAGCUAGGGUUAGAGACCAGCCCUGCCAGAUCCCCAUUUUCACUUUUUUACAAUUUAGAUUUUGCUUUUAAUUGAACCCUGAGUAGACCAGAUAAAGCAGACCACUGCCCUAUUACCACACACACACCUGCAGGUCAGGACCAAAGUUGGGGUCGAUUAAUAGUUGGACCACUGUUUUUUGGGGGCAUCUGGGGAGUUUCUUUGGUAAUUAUGUGUCUGAGACUGAGACAACGCCUGUGUAUCUGUUUGUAAACAAAUAUAAGUCUCCAUGUCCCUAAACCGAACUCAUAAUUUCACAACAAGCUGUAAUCAAUUACUGACUGAUGAGUUGAAGUAGAACUGGAGGCCUUGCUGUGCAUCUAGUUUCCUAUCCAGGAGAAAGAUUGCCAUCUAGUGGAUAUUGACUGUAUGUGACCAUUAAGCCACAAAGCACUGGACUGAAGUAGUGUUGUCAAAUCUGCCUUGAAUAGUUGCAUUAAAAUCUGACUAAUUUAGAACAUAAGAAAAUAGUCUGAUGCUGUUAUAUUAAGAGUGUUUAUUAGACAAAAACAUACAAAUGUCACAAUAGUUAAAUCAUUACAAAAGGACUAUUUUUGUGCAUGUACAAUGUGUAUGACAAACAAACAUACAUUACAAAUACAAGUAACAAAAGGUUACCCUACAAUCAUUCUAAUAAAAUAUCUUUGACAUUUGGCCACGCAGAAGCUGACAUGUAAAAACCACAAUGAGGAACCCACAAUGCUUUGUUUGUGUGCUUCCCUAAGCGGGUCCUGAAGGACCCCUAUAUGCUCCUGAGUGACUACAGCCCCUGGUUCGAUUCCAGGCUAUAUCACAUCUGUACGUGAAUGGGAGUCCCAUAGGGCGACGCACAAUUAGCCCAGUGUCGUCCCGGUUUGGCCGGUGUAGGCCGUCAUUGUAAAUAAGAAUUUGUUCUUAAAUGACUUGCCUAGUUAAAUAAAUGUUCAAUAAAAAAUAAAAAAUUG